CUCUCCUCUCCUCUCCUUUUUCUUUUCUCUCGAAUUGGUGUUUUUCUUUUCUUAAUCCUCACCCCUCGCCUCGGGUACUGUUCGUCUAGUGACGGCUGGUUCCAUCACAAGUGGCACCCGAACAGGGACCUGAGAACUGAGGACAAGGUGAAAGACGCCGCUGGAUUGUGAGCUCUGACAAACAAAGAGAUAACAAGCUACUCUCAAACACUGUCAGUGGUAUUAGUGGAAAGGAAAGAAAAUGGAACUCCAGAUGCUGCUGACUCAAUGACUUUGCCAAGGUUCAACCAGGAGGACACACUUGGCAACUGGAAUUGAGCAUGGGUUCUAGCAUAGGAGCUCAGUCACCAAGGCUACAGGAAUUACUUCUUCCUUCCAAGAUAAACCUGGCUUUCUCAGUUUAAGGGGUAGCAAUGGUUGAGAAGAAUUAUCAAAGCAUCAAUCUGCCAUGAUUGCUCCUUAAUCUUGAUGUACCAUGGAACGUUGUCAAUCAGAGACCUGACAGCAUGGACCUCAUGUAAAAUAGUUUUACAAUAUUUUGGAUUGUUUUGUUUUCUACUUAUACCCUCAUCAGCAAAAGAGAGGGCAGGUAUGUCAAGUCAAUGAUGACUUCUGAUAUGGGCUUAGCAUAGCCCCUUAACUAUGACUCAAACAGUAAUCCAUGUAUCAUCCUUCAUUGUUGAAGCCAUGUACCUUCCUUCAUGGUUGAAUCCACAUAGCAACUGUUCAUUAUUUUUAUCUUUAUCUUGCUGAACUAAUGGAUCCCUCAGUAUCGAAAUAAUAUUCCAUGAAUUCGUUCCACUCAAUUUCCAUAGAUAAAAUUAGUUUAUGAGAUAUGUCCAAAUAUUACUGAAUGUAUAGUUCCAUUCAAGUUCUAUAAAUAAAAUGUAGUUUUUGUGAUGUUCCAAAAUAUUACUGGAUUGGCAAACAUCAUUUGUGAUA